GGUCGAUUUAGCAUUUUUUUUUAGCAUUUAUAAUAUUUUUCUUAUGUUGUUAAUGGUAUUCGGUGGGAAUGGAGAAAAUGGGACCAUGACACCCUGUUUGGCGUCCGGAGAUGGACCGCGGAUUUGCCAUUUCCCGAAAUUUUUCUCACCCUUCCCAUCUCCCGGGUUUGGCGCCCCCAUUUGGCUCUCCUUGAUUUUACUCUCGGUCGGAUCCAAAUCCAGCCAAAGCCGGAGAUGGGACGGACAGGGGUACCCCAGUCGUGGUCACGCGGCCUCCGCGUGGGGUGAAAAUACUAUUUGCCUAUGCUGGGGGAAGGAGCUGCCGUGAGAGAUGGUCCGGUCAACUCUCUCUCUCGCGCGAACAAGAAAAUUUGGGGAGACGAAGAAUAACCAGGGAUUUUAUAUUUUUGAAUUUGGGUAAUUACACUGACCUCCCCUGAGGUUAUAGUUAAUAUACAAGAAAACCUUAACAUUUAAAAACUAUAAUUAACCUCAUUCCCUCAAUUGAACCAAAAAAAAAAUAUUUUUAAUUAUAUAUUAAUAUUUAAAUUUCUUCUUAUUUGAUGUUGAAUUUUAUUUUUUAUUUUAUUUGAAUUCACUGAAAUCGGGUACUAAAAUAUCGUGUACCAAUUUUUUUGUGGAGUCGACUGAAUUUUUUUGGUAAAAUUUAAAUUAUUUUAAUACAUUUUCUUGGUUUAUAAUUUAUAAUUCUAAAUUAUAGAGAAAUACUAAGAUACCGAAUGGGGGUGCCACAAUUUGAAUUUCUGCUUAAUAUAUUAUUAUAUAAUUAAUUUAAAAUAAUUUAAUCAAAAUAAAAUUGAAUGAUCUAUCUUUUAAAUUGUAAUUUAUUUUAAUUUCUUUUCCGAGUGCUAUUUUGAGUGGUAGUUUUGUAAAUUUAGCACCCAUGAUUGCAUUCGAAGAAAUUCUAGAUUAAUCUGGCAAUAAUUGAAAGUUCGCUCACCUACCCCCCGCAAGCGGGCAGCGAGGGCUACUAAUUAAACGUUCGCUAGUCGCCGCACCGCGAGCGAAUUAAGUGAGUCUGUGGACAACGGAAUACACGUUUUCAACUUUGUUAUAAAAGAAAACAGACUUCUUUAACUUACAGCACCAUUUCUAAAAACAAAGUAAUGAUUUUGUCCUAAAGAACAUAUUACAUCAUCUAUUAAUAAUUGACAAAUAUGUCUAGCAUUCCUGAACUAAAAAUAAUAUUCUUUUAAAUGUAUUAUUUUAAGAAUAUUAUUGUCCUUGCAAAUUUUUUGCUUUAUAUCGAAAUUUGUGCAAAUUUAACAAAAAAAUUAGAAAGCUUAAUUUUACCACUUGUUUCUUUAUUAUUUUCCUAUAAAUUUAUUUAAAACUAAUUUUUUUUUCUUUUUUUUUCUUUUUAGGCUUCAUUUUACGAACACCCACUAACUUUAUUUUUUAUUAUUUUUUGAUUUAUCCCUUCAUCUAAAAAGUGAAUCAUAUUGACUCAUUUAACUAUUUAAUUAUAUCACUUAUACCCCUUCCAUUACUAAUCUGUUUUAAAAAGUAAUAAAAAUCAAUUACAUGUUGUCCAUGUAUUUAAAUUAAAUGCAUAUAUCUAAAAUACUAUUAUUUUUUUAUAAAAAAUAAUCAAACCAUAUACAUUUUAUCAGCCAUUAUGAGAACAAACUUAACUCUUAUUAAUAAGCAUUUAAAUAGAGCGUUGACUUAAUUUUUAUUAAAAAUAAAAAUAUUUAGGCAAAGCAUUUAAUUUAAGCAUAAAACAUGACAAUACACAAUCGAUUUUUAAUCAAUAUUUAAUCAGAUUAGUAAUAAAAGGGUAUAAUGAUGUAAUUAAAUAGUUAAGGGCCAAUAUGAUCACUUUUUAGAUGAAUGAUAAAUUGAUAAAAGACGAUAGUUUGGUGAUGUUUUAUGAAUUAAGCCUUCUUUUUUAUUUUAUUUCCUAGCAAAUCAAACGAAAAGAAACUACUACUUUUCUUUGGUUUGGUUGUUAUUUUUUAGUAUCACUUUUUUUAAUUUUCUUUAAAAAAUUUUAUUUGGUUACAGAUUUUAGAAGUUUUUUCUGGAAUUACGUCGGAAAAAAACAUAUUUGGAGAAAAAAAAAAUAAAGAUACAACUCGAUUACUAGAAAAUUUGUUUUUGUCUAGUUAGAAAAAUGAAUAAUCUAUGAAAUUGUUAAAAUAUUUUUAUGUUCAAAAACGUUUUUUUAAAAAAUUUAUAAAUCCCAAAUUAUUAUAAAAAAUUGAACCAAAUAUCUAUAAUUCUCUGUUUCUUUCUCUUUGCAUGAGUUCCAAACAAAGCCUACGGGUGGAUCGUUGACUGGGCCAGUGUUCGCAUAUUUAUGACCUCGUCCCACCAUCUCAGUUUAAUAAAGGAUAACUUCCUUCACACCCCUGAGGUUUUUCAAUAUUGCACUGACCUCCCUGUAGUUUUCAACAUGGCAAUGACCUCCCUGUAGAGCAAAAUGACCAUUAUGCCCCAGCCCCUAGCCCCCCCACCCCACCCCACCCCACCCCACCCACCCCACCCCCACCCCACCCCCGCAAUUUUUUUUUAUUUUUUUUAGUUUUUCUUUUAAUUAUUUUUAAUUUCUUUUUAAUCUAAGUUAUUUUUUUUAUCAGUGUUUUUUUUGGAUAAAUAUUUUUUUUAUUAUAUGUUGUUUUUUUUAGUUUUUUUAAUUAAUUAAUUUUAAUAAGAAAUAAAUUUAAAAUUAAAAUUAAAAUUAAUAGAGAAUACAAAUUUAAGUUUACAAUAACCUGAUCAUUAUAUUUAAAAUUGUAGCAGACUUUUUUAGUUGUAUAAUUACAUUAUAAAAUACUUAAAAAUUCAUUUAAUUAAAGGCCAAUGUGGACUACUUACUUUUUUAAAAAUUAAGUAUUUUAAUUUCUGAGUUUUUUUAAAUUUGUAGAUAAUCAUUUUAGUGGGCAAUUUUAGCGAAAUAUCUAAAAUUUAUCAAGUUUUCCGCAUCUAUUACGAACUUUUUGAUAUCUGAUUGUCAUAUUAUUUGAAAGUUCAAAUCUACUGACCAGAUUAGCCUCAUCACUUGGGCAUUAUCAAAUUGUUGAUGAAACGAAAAAAAAACUCAAAACGCAAAUAAUUAGAAUUUUUUUAAAAAAUAGGACAAAUUGACUUUAUUAUGAGUUUUAAGACAUUUUAUAUUUAUACAUACCACUAAAAAGUUUGUACAAUUUUUUAAUUAUAAUGAUCAGAUUAUUUGUGACUUAAUUUGUUUCUUUUUCUAUUUUUAUGUUAUUUAUUUUUAUUAAAAUUAUUAAUAAAAACCAAUAAAAAAACCAAACUAGAAUAAAAAAAUAUUUAUCCAAAAAAAUUGAUAACAAAAUAAAUUAGAUUAAAAAAGUAAUAAAAAUUUAAAAUAAAAACUAAAAAAAAAUAAAAUCAGGGGUGCGUGGGGUGGGGGUGGGGCUGGGUGGGCGGGGUCAGGGGCAUAAUGGUCAUUUUUUCUCGGUACAGGGGAGGUCAUUGCCAUUUUUGAACUACAGGGAUGUCAGUGCAAUUAUGGAAAACUCCGGGGUGUGAAUGAAAUUUAAUCCCUUUAAUACACCAGUGUGGUCCAGUGCCCAGGACUUUGUCGGCCAGUCCGAACGUGGCUCAAUCCCCAAUUUCCAUUUGCCAAACAUAUCUCAGAGUAGUCCCAAUUCGAUAGUUUUUUUUAAAUAAAUUUGUUAGCUAUUUUCGGUCUCAAUUUUUGUUCGUAGACCUCGUAGUGAACUUUUUCAGUUAUUUAAUUAAAUUUUUAAAUUUUUUAAUUUUUUCUCAACACGUUGAGCUUGAAAAAAAUAUAUAUUUUUUCAUUUAAAUACUAAAUGUUUUACUAAAAACAAAAACUUGUUUUUACUGAUAAUACAUAAAAUAAAAUUUAGGCUUAUUUUUUUUUUUUUAAUGAUUUUUUUUCCAAAAUUCUAACAAAAAUUUAACAUAAUUAGAUGCUUUGUCAGAGAAAUUGAAAAAUAUAUACAUACAACUUGAAAAUCAAUGCAGUGCUACAAACAAGAGUAUUAUUAGUGCUAAAACUAGGUUCUGUUUAUUAAUACUUCAAAACCAAGGUUUUUUUAACUUGCUAUCAAAAAAGCUAAUAUUUUUAAGGUUUUUGCUUUUGUAUUUUCACUAUAGCUACAACUAAGCAAUCAGCAAAAAUAGAAAAGCAAAAAGCCAACUCUGAUUUACUUUUUUCUUAUUUUCGGCAAAAAAGUCUAAAAAACUGAAAAACUGGUGCCAAACCAGAGCCUAAGUCAAAAUUGGGUCUAUUUUUGUACUACCCUGUCUCAAUUGUAAAUUCAAUUUUCCUAAAAUUCCUACGAAAACUAACAAUAUUCUGGAGUCCUACAUUUUUUAUCAUUUGUCAUUUUGAGCUGAUAAUUACUCCUUUUUUUUUUGUUUCGUUCAUCUUUUAAUUACCUUUUUAUAUGGAUUACAAAUCAUUGGAGAAAAUUGUUACAAAUACUCUCUUAUAACUUUUAAAACUGAAAAAAAAUUAAACUUAAAAAAUUACGACAAACAUUCUUAUACUGUGGAGUGAGACACAAACUUUUACUGAAAAAAAAUGCUAAGCCCUGCCAAAUGACCGGGGAUAGUUAGCAUGACCCUUCACUAUCCUAUAUCAGCUCAAUAAUGAAUUGCUAGUCCGGACCAUUGAAUAACUUUUAGGUCUUUGAACCGUUAGAAAAGCAAGCCAACCCAAACACAGGUGAACAUGACAAUGAUUUGAUGCAAAAACUGUGUUUUGAUGCCAAAAUACGAUGGCCGGGAUUUUUUUUACCCAUUUUCCAAAGUGUUGAUAUGUGUGCGACCUAAGGCCAAUGGCAGUCAGUGCCCACAAGAGGAUGGGGGUGGGUUUGUUCUUACUAAGUGAGCAUGGAGGGUUUGGUUGUGAGAAUGGAGGAUGGUGAUGGUGAUGCUACUUUGGCUACAACAGCAAACACCACAAAGCGUACAAACAAACCACACAGCAUAUCCUCAAGGAUAAUGCCAUGUCAAAUGCGGAUUGAAAAAAAACAGAAGGAGAAUUUCCAACUUUGUGAGUGUGCCACCAUGUUUUGUAAUGGACAAGUCUCUCUCUCUCUCUCUCUCUAUAUAUAUAUAUAUAUAUCAAUAUAUAUUUGAGUUAGAUCUAAAAUCUAGAUUAAAAGUGGGUGGUUAUGGGAGCUUAUAAUCUAGUUUGAAUCAUUAUUUUGUAAAUUAUGUUGAGAAUAGUAUGUAUAAAAAGAUAAGAUAAUAGAUAUCAAUAGUAACAUAAUCAAAUUAAUAUUAUCUUUAAAAAAGUGGAAUAAUAUUUCCUAAAAAAUCGUAUUUUCAGGAUAAAAAAGAUGAAACCAUAUUCAAAUUAACCAGAAUUUGAAUAAAUAGUAUUUUAAGAUUCUACAAAAUGAAUGGUUCAGAUCAUGACCUAUUCUAGAGAUUAUACAGACGAUUGUUAAUGCACAUGAGAAAAAUAAAUAUUUAUAAAAUUAAAUAUUGUAAUAUGUAAUUGAAUUGAUAUGAUUGAUAUAUUUUUCACUUUCAUGCUUGAAAUUUCUCCUUAUUAUCACACCUGUUAAUUGACAAAAAAAAAAUGAUGUAUUAUACAUGAAAUAUUUAAAUUGUUGUGAAUUAGAGAUUGUUUCCUAAUUUGAGUAGGAAGUUGUGGAAUUGUUUUUUAGGAGAUUCUUUCCUAAUUGAUUAUGAAACGCCAUAAAUUUAUUUCCUUUGACAUUUUUUUAUUUAUUUUUCCUACUUAGAUAUUAUGUUGUAUUAUAUAUUGUGUAGGUUUUAAUACAAUUGAAGCUUUUCUUAUUUUGAUUGGUAUCAGAGCAUUUAAUCGAAUACAACCAGUGUAAUCGCGCACACACCUUGCCCAGCCAGCGCAGUUAGCCACCGUCGGUAAAACACUCACGCAACCCCACUCAGCGUAGUUGAACACACUACCAUCACGUAACCACCACUAGUGCCAUUCCAUACCCAGCGCAGUGCAACCAGCGCAUCCAGCCACUCCAGCGAAGUGCAGUCCAGAUACCCUCACAAAACAACACCACGUCUAAGCAGCCAGGCCCACCCCCCUGUGAGCCACCACAUCCAGCCAGUCCAGGCCGCCUCUAUCUGCCAGCCUAUUCUAUACAGCUCUGAGUCUCUUGUUGGCUUGUCGCUGUCUUGUGUUGGUGUUUCUUGAGGGACUUUGUGGAAUUUUCCCCACACUCGCGAAAUUGAAGUUUCUUCCUUGGAUCCUGUUCUUCUAUGAUUGAUGGUUUUAUCCUAGCGAAUAUUGUUUCUGAGUCUAGUUCAUGUUUUCAGAUUUGAUCAAUUAAAACCUAGCUCAAGAGUCACGAGCAUGUUGUUGAUGGAAAGAACUUUCAUGCUUGAUCUUGCUCUUUUCAACUCUACCUUAAUGUAAAGUGUUUAAGACCAGCUCGAUUCUGGAAAAGAACAGAAAGCUGGCUGAAUCCGAUCCAAGUUUGAUGAGUGAAAGGAGGAUAAAUGUAUCAUUUUGGACUGGGUUGUUUACUCUAUGGAGGAUAGAGGUGUCCAUAUGUUAUGUAUCAUGAUACCGGUAUAUGGUUAUGGAUUGCUUUGAAUAGAUGUAUGGUCAGCCUAUAAGGAGCCCUGAUCUUUGAAACUCUUUAUCUUAAAAACCUACCUUAGGGGGGGGGAACUUUCCGUUUGUUGAUAUUUUGGAUAUCUCCAGACUAGAUGGGAAGAAUUGACUCAGUACAAUCCCUUAGUGAUUUUCCUAGUGAUAAGGUUGUUGAGUCAAACAUAUGAUCGUCAACAUACAUUUCAGUGUUUUGAGGGUUUUUUAAAACCUGAGUUUGAGUCUCUUGAACUCAAAGGUAAUACAUCACUUUUUCCAUUCAGAUUACAAGGGUGUUUGAUAAUAUUGAUGGUGAUAAGCGGAGGUGCGCCUUCCUACCAUCAUUUCUCUACUGGAUACUCUUCUACUAUUUAAGAUUCCAAACAUCCUUGGUUGCUUCUUUUGGGACGCGCCCACAUUGUCAGCAUUUCGCAGGCCCAAUUCCUUUUGAUUGCUGUUUUGAUCUACAUCUUGAGUUGAAAUCACAGUUAAAUAGGAAUUAAGGUAGAAUUGGCGGGGUGGUUUACGGUGGUGGGUAGUGGCUGUGGAAUUCCUCGAGUUGGUUCUAUUGCAGAAGUAGAACAAUUGCAUCUGAGUUACUUGAUCUCAAUCAACUUUAGAGCCAAAUUGCUCAACUAUAGUCGAACUUGGGCUUGGCUCUCUCCUCUGGUCCCAUGGCCGUUAUAGCUGUAGGGACUCUUACCGCUCUUCAUGGUAAGUUAGGUCACUCCACUUGAAUUCUAGAUUUUGGGGCUAAUAAUCACAUGACUGGUGAACUUUUUAUCUUUACCUCUCCUGUUACUUCUGUGAAUAGUAUGUUUGAUGUUGAUGGAUUCCUCUUUCCAGUAUAAUCAGGUAUGUUUGCUGUCCUAAGAUAUUAGUUGUCUUGCAAAAACACCUUAAUUGUGAUGUUAUCUUCUACCAUCUCAUGUUUCUUGCAGGACCUAACUCGAAGAAGAUUUUUGGCAAGGGGUAGUCUCAUGAGCGUGAUGAACUAUAUUACUUUGGGGAUCCGUCCAAUAUCUAAUGCUUUGUCUUUAGUCUUCAAGUAGUCGUUCUACCACUCUUAGAGCCUCUGUUUUAAGUCGUCUAUUUAAACUUGUGUGUUUUUAUUUAACACUUAAAUCGAUGGCAUGCUUAUUUAGGGCAUGCCAAAUUUUUAGUAUUUGUUGCUUUUCCCAUCUGAAUCAAAGCAGCAAGAAAGUUAUUUUAAAUGGUCAUUUGUGAAUGUCUAAAACAUUACUCGCACCUUUUUUAUUUCCUCGAUGCGCAAUCGCUGCACCUAGUGCCUUGACCCUUAUUCGAUCAGAGAUGUCUAGGGACCGGUCUUCAGUUAAUGAUAUCUCUCAACAUCGUCAUUAUGUCACGUUUAUAGGUAACUACACCGUUGAUAUGGGUAUACCUGAUGCACCAUAAAUUUGAGGUCAUCUCCCACUUACCCACUUUCUAUAAAUGAUCAAAACUCAAUAUAAUACAUUUGUGCUCACUAUUCGGUCAAAUAAUGGUCGUGAGUAUAUCACGAAUGAGUUUUGGACUAAACUUAAUAAACAUGAUAUACUUCAAUAACACACUUAUCCUUACACCCCUAAGUAGAAUGGAUUUUUGGAGUAAAAAAAUAUGUCAAUUGAUGUCUAUUGGCUAGUGUUUCUUAAGAGGAUUGUGUGGUUUCUUAAUAUUUCUUUUAUAAGGUUUGUCCUCACUUCCACAUUCAUUAUUAAUCGCGACUCCUAGUCCUUCUAACGUCAAGGCACCACUCAAUAUCUUCAGCUUGCUAGUACCCCGUUAUUUUCUUUAUUCUCCCUCGUGUCUUUGGAUGUACAUUCUUUAAUUAGUUAAGAGCCCUUUUGUAACCAAACUGAUGAUAAAUGCUGCUUGUUGUGUUUUUCUUCUUGGUUAUCCCCUUCCUCGAUAUUCAAGAGGUAUCGGUGUUUAUGACUAUACUUGUCAUAUGUAGCACUCUUUGGAUGCCAUUUGUUUUGAACUGUUCAAAAAAGACAUUUUUCUCAAGUCUUCUGUCCUUUUUGGGCCCCUUCUUCUGACUAUUUGUGGAGGAGAUUCUAUACCUCCCUACCCACUUCCUCCUAUCUUGAGUCUCCUCCCUAUCACCUGUGGCUCUAUGCUCUAUUGUAACUAUCGAUAUCCAAGAUGUAUCGGUGUUAUGUGAUCCUUCACUCUGCAAUGUAUCACUCGUUAGAUGCCACCUUGUUUUUUUUUUUGAAACUAUUCCCUUUUUCUCAGGUCCUUCUGUCUUUUUUUUGGGCCUUGCUUCUGAACUAGUGUUGGAGGAGGAUUCUUACCUCCCAACCCCUUCCUAAUUCUUGAGUCCCUUCUUUCCUCCACUCUCACUCACUCCAGUGGCUCUAUGGUCCUCUAUUGUCACUACUGACCCUUUAAUAGGUUUUACCUUGAUUUUCCUGCGCUCCAGCUCCCCCCCUGCGCAUAUUCUCCGAAUUCAAGUGUCCUCCUUUUUUUUUUUCUAAUUUAUUUUUUUUUGAUAUCCCUCCUCCCUGUUAUCCCCCCACACGAGUUCAGCGUCUCUCUCUCUCCAUUUUUCUUCUUUUUAAAUAUACUAAUCCAUCUAUUGUGGUAGUAUUUGUCUUUACCAAAGUCUUUUAGAGUAGACUCCGUUUUCAUUCUUUUUUUUUUAGUCAGGUGACUCGAUCUUGAUCCUCCGCUUUGGUCAAUGAAACUCUUAGUAUCCUUGUGGGUGUCUAUAAUGAAGGUCAGAUGGAUGAUAUUCAUCAACAAUUGGACAUGUGAUCUUGUUACUUUGCCAAAAGGGGAGCGCCUGUUGAUUGUAAAUGAGUAUUCAGUGUGAAGUAUUGGCGGAUGGUUCGAUUGAUAUAUACAAAGCUCCCCCUUGUGGCUAAAAGAUUUACUCAGAUUGUACGCAAAGAUUUGGGUGUCAUUUUUGUCCUUUUGGCCAAAUUAAAAACACCAUUACCUUCUAUAGCUUCCCUCACUGCUUCUUCCUUUUGGUGGCAUCUUUACCAUUGGAAUGUCAAACUGUCUUCCUUAAUGGUGCCCCUUUCUGAGACUAUAGAUAUGAAUAGGCCCCAAUUUACAAGCUCAAGGGGAGUAUUCGGAGAACGUAUGUUUGGCCUUCCGAAAAUCUAUCUAUAAGCUUAAGAGUCUCCUCAUCUUGUCAUGGGUUUGUUUAGUGACACUCAUAUCAUAAAGUGCUUUAUUCAAUCGCCAGUUUCAGUCGAUGCAUUAUUAUCUCAGUUUAUAGAGACGAUCUUCUUGUUGUUUCAGGUGAAAGGUGGCCUCAAAAAGCUUUUGAGAUUAAGGAUUUAGGUCCUCUUCAUUACUUUCUUGGUAUUGAGGUUGCUCAGUCUACCAAGCUAUCUCGUGCUCUCGGAAGUAUUCUCUUGACCUUCUUCAAGAUUCAAGCAUGCUUGGGUGUAAAUCUGCAUCUACACAUAUGAUACAAAAUCUGAAGAUAUCAGCUGAGUC
rnacentral:lncRNA from 1 species